GCAUAUACUUUUUCGUAAGCAAUGGUUUAUUUUUACUACGGGUAUACAUUAAAUUAUCUAUAGCAGUUGCUACACCCGUCCUCAUUAUCCUAGGAUGUCUUUUUAUAUUUUAACAGUUUUGUAUUUCAUUAAACUGUCCAAGGGAGAAAAUUUAAUUUUUCUCGUCGAGUUUUAUUAAAACUAUAAUUAUUUACUAGACGUUAUAUUGUCAAAUUAUAAAAUAUAACAACGUGUACGUGUUAAAAUGUCAAAAGUGUUUUUGUGAAGAUCGUUUUAAAUUUACGACUCAAUUCACUCCAUCCGCCCUGUGAAAUUUCAUCUGAUAUAAUUGGAAACUAAUUCCGCAACAUCCCUCUUG